AAACAAAGCAGAAGAAGGGGAAAACGAAAAGCAUGAAAAUGUGGAAAGGAAUACCGCAGAGAAGAGCCUGGAAAGGGAGUUGUGGGACAAGGGGAAGAAGUUCAUAUAAGCGAAACUGCGGCCUUUGGUUCGAAUGAUUUCAACAGUUUCGGCCUUCCCUAAUCCCCUUGACGACGACGAGAAAAUAUUACGGAGGUCAUCAUGCGUCACACUCUCCCCUAGAC
rnacentral:lncRNA from 1 species